rnacentral:lncRNA from 1 species
AGGGAUUGAACUCUGGUCCUUGUGCUUGCAAAGCAGGCAGUGGAACCACUGAGCUAAAUCCCCGGCCCCAUAGCAUGUCUUCACUCUUUGCAGCCUCAAAAUUGCAAAAGUGGACUUUGAGAAGAGAGCUCCAGAGCACCAUGUUCCAGAAUGGAGGAGGCCUGAAGAAGAUGUUCCAAUGAACAAGCUCAAUAUCUCCAAGCAGGUGUGCACUUUUAUUGAACUGGUCUCUAAAGUCAGUGUACAGGUGCUGCAAGGUGGAGAGCGAGGCCAGGGUGGAGCCGCUGAUCCACACAGAGUACUUGCGCUCAGGGGGAGCGACGAUCUUGAUCUUCGUGGUGCUGGGUGCCAGGGCUGUGAUCUCCUUCUGCAUCCUGUCGGCGAUGCCUGGAGGGGCCAGGAAGACAAUGAAAAGAGAUAAUGUAACAUCUGUCCUCAUCUGGAUUUAAAUCUUUGGGAUAAAAAAUAAAAAAAGUGAGGAAGCCAAAUGCUGAUGGAAGUGAUUCCAUGACCCUCGAUGAGAUUCUAGAAGUGAUGGACUUAACCCUCACUGAGCACUGGGACUUUGGCCUAAAGAGAGCUGCUUUGCUUCCCAGGGGAAAAUGUGGUAAGAGUUAAAGGGAAGAUCACCCACACUGUGUUCGGACAGAAAGCAGCCCUUCUCAGAGGCCCACAGGACCAGCACAGAGAUCCUCACUUGACCUUCUUACCCUUGGUUUUCUAGACACUCGGAGACCACACCAGACACUGACUGACCUCGCUUUCUCAUCACAGUGUCAGCAGGGCCAGUGGCGAGGCUUCUGCUUCUCCAUCGGGUUGGAGAGAAGCACAGUAAGCAAAAGCAGGGGCUAUGCUGUGACGGCAACCAACAGCCCAACACACCCACGGUGAGAUCUCCCAGAACCAUUUCAGGGAUACUCUAAAAGGGGCUGGUUUCCUGCUGGGUCAGGUGGGCAGGGCCAUGGGAAGGGAGAGCAGAACCCAGAUGGCUGCAUUAGGGUAGUCAGGCUGGUAAGGCUUGCGUAUAGAUGUGCCUGGAAUCCAUUGCCAUUGUGCUUUUGGGAUAAUCACCCUGUAAAAUGCUUUCUUUUCUUCUAUUUAAGCCGCUAGCCUCUCCUUAGGCAGAAUUAUUUUCAAUG